rnacentral:misc_RNA from 1 species
GCCGAAUCCUGUACGGCUCCUCUACCACUCCGUCACUUAUAUUAAGCCUCUUCCUCAUUUUAAUGGCGACUCGUUUUUCGCUAUCUCGUUCAGCUCGCCUUUGCUUAAGACCCACUUCUACUUUUUCACGUUUAUCUACCAAAAACCUACUUCAGUGUCCGUCUUGUCCCCUCUGGUCAUCCUCUUUCUCUCUCUGUCUUCACACUUUCCGCAAGUCAACUUCUCCCGGUAAAUCCAUCACCGUCCGAUCAUUUUCUCCAUCGUCGGCAUCCAUUUCCGAUCAUCCUUCUAAAAUGUCGAUGGCUUCUGAUGACAAUCCUUUGUUGAAGGACUUUGAUUUCCCACCAUUCGAUGUAAUCGAAGCCAAGCACGUCCGUCCUGGAAUUCGUGCCUUGCUUAACAAAAUAGAGGAGGAAUUGAGCGCUUUGGAGAAGAGUGUGGAGCCUACCUGGCCCAAGCUGGCGGAGCCAUUGGAGAAGAUCAUUGAUAGAUUGACGGUUGUUUGGGGUGCGGUGAAUCAUCUCAAGUCCGUCAAAGAUAAUCCUGAACUUCGUUCCGCUCUUGAAGAAGUUCAGCCAGAAAAAGUUGCUUUUCAGCUUAAAUUGGGUCAGAGUAAGCCAAUCUAUAAUGCAUUCAAAGCCAUCCGAGAGUCACCUGAGUGGGACUCUUUGAGUGAUGCUCGUAAACGAAUAGUUGAAUCGCAAAUAAAGGAGGCUGUACUUAGUGGUAUCGCUCUUGAGGAUGAUCAAAGAGAGCAAUUUAACAAGAUUGAACAGGAUUUAGCAAAGUUAUCUCAGAAAUUUGAUGAAAAUGUUUUAGAUUCCACCAAGAAGUUUGAAAAAUUAAUAAUAGAUAAGAAGGAUAUUGACGGAUUACCUGCCACAUCUCUUGGUUUGGCUGCACAGACAGCAGUGUCUAAGGGGCACGAAAAUGCUACUGCAGAAGACGGGCCAUGGAUCAUCACAUUGGAUGCGCCAAGUUAUAUGUCUGUGAUUCAACAUGCAAAGAAUAGAACUCUUAGAGAAGAGGUGUACCGUGCUUGUAUAAAUCGUGCUUCUAGUGGAGACCUUGAUAACACUGAGAUAAUUAACCAAAUUCUAAAGCUUAGAUUGGAAAAGGCUAAGCUCCUUGGAUACAAUAACUAUGCUGAGGUAAGCAUGGCGAUGAAAAUGGCCACUGUUGAAAAAGCCGAAGAGCUUUUAGAAAAGCUUCGUAGUGCUUCUUGGGAUCCUGCAGUUAAAGAUUUGGAAGAAUUGAAAGAUUUCUGUAAAAGUCAAGGUUCUCCAGAAGCUGAUGAUCUGAACCAUUGGGAUAUUACGUUCUGGAGUGAGAGGCUUCGUGAAUCUAAGUAUGAGCUAAACGAGGAAGAACUGCGCCCAUACUUUUCGUUGCCUAGAGUUAUGGAUGGUCUUUUUAACCUUGUAAAGAUGCUGUUUGAUAUCAAUGUUGAGCCAGCUGAUGGAUUAGCUCCAGUUUGGAACAAUGAUGUCCGGUUUUACCGUGUGAAUGAUUCCUCUGGAAGUCCUAUUGCCUACUUCUAUUUUGAUCCAUACUCU